rnacentral:rRNA from 1 species
GAUGAACGCUGGCGGCGUGCCUAAUACAUGCAAGUCGAGCGAACAGACGAGGAGCUUGCUCCUCUGACGUUAGCGGCGGACGGGUGAGUAACACGUGGAUAACCUACCUAUAAGACUGAGAUAACUUCGGGAAACCGGAGCUAAUACCGGAUAAUAUAUUGAACCGCAUGGUUCAAUAGUGAAAGACGGUUUUGCUGUCACUUAUAGAUGGAUCCGCGCCGCAUUAGCUAGUUGGUAAGGUAACGGCUUACCAAGGCAACGAUGCGUAGCCGACCUGAGAGGGUGAUCGGCCACACUGGAACUGAGACACGGUCCAGACUCCUACGGGAGGCAGCAGUAGGGAAUCUUCCGCAAAGGGCGAAAGCUUGACGGAGCAACGCCGCGUGAGUGAUGAAGGUCUUCGGAUCGUAAAACUCUGUUAUUAGGGAAGAACAAAUGUGUAAGUAACUAUGCACGUCUUGACGGUACCUAAUCAGAAAGCCACGGCUAACUACGUG